rnacentral:snoRNA from 1 species
GGAUGACGAUGACGUUGUGGAAACUGUUAAGCAUUUUAACUGAGUUUUCUUCGAAAU